rnacentral:rRNA from 1 species
GACGAACGCUGGCGGCGUGCUUAACACAUGCAAGUCGAACGAGGUCCACUGCGUAGCAAUACAAGGGAAGACCUAGUGGCGAACGGGUGCGUAACACGUGAGGAACUUGUCCCGGUCUCUGGGAUAACAGUUGGAAACGACUGCUAAUACCGGAUGACGUCGGAAUCUCGCAUGGGAUACUGACGAAAGGGUUACUGGAUCGGGAGAGCCUCGCGGCCUAUCAGCUUGUUGGUGAGGUAACGGCUCACCAAGGCAUCGACGGGUAGCUGGUCUGAGAGGAUGAUCAGCCACACUGGGACUGAAACACGGCCCAGACUCCUACGGGAGGCAGCAGUGGGGAAUCUUGCGCAAUGGGCGAAAGCCUGACGCAGCAACGCCGCGUGCGGGAAGAAGGACCCUCGGUGU